UACGAAGGGGGCUAGCGUUGCUCGGAAUCACUGGGCGUAAAGGGCGCGUAGGCGGAUCUUUAAGUCAGGGGUGAAAUCCCGAGGCUCAACCUCGGAACUGCCUUUGAUACUGGGGAUCUCGAGUCCGGGAGAGGUGAGUGGAACUGCGAGUGUAGAGGUGAAAUUCGUAGAUAUUCGCAAGAACACCAGUGGCGAAGGCGGCUCACUGGCCCGGAACUGACGCUGAGGUGCGAAAGCGUGGGGAGCAAACAGG
rnacentral:rRNA from 1 species